AUUGAACGCUGGCGGAAUGCUUUACACAUGCAAGUCGAACGGCAGCACGGGUGCUUGCACCUGGUGGCGAGUGGCGAACGGGUGAGUAACAUAUCGGAACGUAUCCAAUAAUGGGGGAUAACUAAUCGAAAGGUUGGCUAAUACCGCAUACGCCCUACGGGGGAAAGCUAGGGACCUUCGGGCCUGGCGUUAAUGGAGCGGCCGAUAUCUGAUUAGCUAGUUGGUGGGGUAAUGGCCUACCAAGGCGACGAUCAGUAGCUGGUCUGAGAGGACGACCAGCCACACUGGGACUGAGACACGGCCCAGACUCCUACGGGAGGCAGCAGUGGGGAAUCUUGCGCAAUGGGCGAAAGCCUGACGCAGCGACGCGGCGUGCGGGAAGGAGGCCUUCGGGUUGUAAACCGCUUUCAGGAGGGACGAAGCCACUCGGGUGAAUAGCCUAGAGGGUGACGGUACCUCCAGAAGAAGCCCCGGCUAACUACGUGCCAGCAGCCGCGGUAA
rnacentral:rRNA from 1 species